UGUAAGCAAGCAGUUUUUAAGUGAUGUGUAACUUGGGGGUAGGCCAGACAAAUCAGCCUCCUGAAAGGGGUGCAGUCGUCUGGAAUGGUUGAGAGCCCCCGCACUAGGGGAGAAG